UACAGAGGUCUCAAGCGUUUGUUCGGAUUCAUUGGGCGUAAAGGGUGUGUAGGUGGCGCCGUAAGUCGGGGUGUGAAAUUUCGGAGCUUAACUCCGAAACUGCAUUCGAUACUGCGGUGCUUGAGGACUGGAGAGGAGACUGGAAUUCAUGGUGUAGCAGUGAAAUGCGUAGAGAUCAUGAGGAAGACCAGUGGCGAAGGCGGGUCUCUGGACAGUUCCUGACACUGAGACACGACAGCGUGGGGGAGCAAACAGG
rnacentral:rRNA from 1 species